rnacentral:rRNA from 1 species
CAGUCGCCGCGGGAAUACAGAGGCCUCAAGCGUUGUUCGGAAUCACUGGGCGUAAAGGGUGCGUAGGCGGCGCGGAAAGUCAGGGGUGAAAUCCCGGAGCUCAACUCCGGAACUGCCUUUGAUACUCCCGCGCUUGAGAACUGGAGGGGACAUCGGAAUUCACGGUGGAGCAGUGAAAUGCGUGGAUAUCGUGAGGAACACUAGUGGCGAAGGCGGAUGUCUGGACAGUAUCUGACGCUGAGGCACGAAGGCCGGGGGAGCGAACGGGAUUAGAUACCCGAGUAGUCCCUGUCUCUUAUAC